AGAGUUUGAUCCUGGCUCAGGAUGAACGCUGGCGGCGUGCUUAACACAUGCAAGUCGAACGGAACUGUCAUUUUUGAAGCAAUUAGCUUGCUAAGGGUGGAAAUGUUGGCAGUUUAGUGGCGGACGGGUGAGUAACGCGUGGGUAACCUGCCUUACACAGGGGGAUAACACCUGGAAACAGGUGCUAAUACCGCAUAACAGGAAGAGGCGCAUGCCACUUUCUUGAAAACUCCGGUGGUGUAAGAUGGACCCGCGUCUGAUUAGCUGGUUGGCGGGGUAACGGCCCACCAAGGCGACGAUCAGUAGCCGGCCUGAGAGGGUGGACGGCCACAUUGGGACUGAGACACGGCCCAAACUCCUACGGGAGGCAGCAGUGGGGAAUAUUGGACAAUGGGGGGAACCCUGAUCCAGCGACGCCGCGUGAGUGAAGAAGUAUUUCGGUAUGUAAAGCUCUAUCAGCAGGGAAGAAAGAAAUGACGGUACCUGACUAAGAAGCCCCGGCUAACUACGUGCCAGCAGCCGCGGUAAUACGUAGGGGGCAAGCGUUAUCCGGAUUUACUGGGUGUAAAGGGAGCGUAGACGGUUAAGCAAGUCUGGAGUGAAAGGCGGGGGCUCAACCCCCGGACUGCUUUGGAAACUGUAUGACUGGAGUGCAGGGGAGGUAAGUGGAAUUCCUAGUGUAGCGGUGAAAUGCGUAGAUAUUAGGAGGAACACCAGUGGCGAAGGCGGCUUACUGGACUGUAACUGACGUUGAGGCUCGAAAGCGUGGGGAGCAAACAGGAUUAGAUACCCUGGUAGUCCACGCCGUAAACGAUGAUCACUAGGUGUCGGUGGGUAUGGAUCCAUCGGUGCCGCAGCAAA
rnacentral:rRNA from 1 species